rnacentral:piRNA from 1 species
UACUUGAACAAUGAGCUAGCUCUUCUGGGU